rnacentral:rRNA from 1 species
AGCAUGUGGCUUAAUUCGACGCAACGCGAAGAACCUUACCAAAGUUUUGACAUCAUACUAAAGAAUAUAGAAAUAUAUUCGCCUGCAAGGGUAGUAUGACAGGUGGUGCAUGGUUGUCGUCAGCUCGUGUCGUGAGAUGUUGGGUUAAGUCCCGCAACGAGCGCAACCCUCUUCCCAUGUUGCCAGCAGUUUAGCUGGGCACUCUUGGGAUACUGCCAGUGUAAAACUGGAGGAAGGUGGGAUGACGUCAAAUCAUCAUGCCCUUUAUGCUUUGGGCUGCACACGUGCUACAAUGGCCUGUACAAAGAGCUGCGAUACUGCAAGGUGGAGCGAAUCUCAAAAAACAGGUCUAAGUCCAGAUUGAAGGCUGAAACUCGCCUUCAUGAAGUCGGAGUCGCUAGUAAUCGUGGAUCAGCACGCCACGGUGAAUACGUUCCCGGGCCUU